GUCCUACGGGAGGCAGCAGUGAGGAAUAUUGGUCAAUGGGCUUACGCCUGUACCAGCCAAGUCGCGUGAGGGAAGACUGCCCUAUGGGUUGUAAACCUCUUUUGUCAGGGAGCAACGCCGGCUACGUGUAGCCGGACUGAGAGUACCUGAAGAAAAAGCAUCGGCUAACUCCGUGCCAGCAGCCGCGGUAAUACGGAGGAUGCGAGCGUUAUCCGGAUUUAUUGGGUUUAAAGGGUGCGUAGGCGGAUCGUUAAGUCAGUGGUCAAAUUGAGGGGCUCAACCCCUUCCCGCCAUUGAAAUUGGCG
rnacentral:rRNA from 1 species